CCCCUUAAUGCGCCUAUGGGAAAUAAAGUCAAAAUAAUGAUACGUACUCGUAUUAAUAAUACCUACGUAAAGAAAAUUCUGAUUUCCUUUUUUUCUUUUUUUGCUCUAGCACAAUAUGGUAAGUAAUUAUUUUAAAUAUUAUCUAUACAGUUGUAAUUAGAGAACCCAGCUAACCCAAAGAAAUGGCAAACCCUAAAAUAAAUAAUGCGAUAAAUAUGUAUAUUCAGUAGUUUUUUUUUUUAAGUAGGUACAUUAUAUUACUGAUUAAUGAAAUGAGUAACUUAUAUUUUCUGCUAUCUGUAUACAAAUUAAUUAAUAUUCCAUUAUAAAUAAUUUAAUAACUGGAGUUUAAUUAUUAUAUUAUACAUACAUAAAUAUAUUUUAGAUAUAUAAAAACAAAUGCAUAUGUUCGAGAGCACAAGCGAAUGUCGUUAAGUGAGUGCGUCUCAGUGCUAAAAUCGCUUCAGAUUCCCGAAUUGGUUAAUUUUAUACUUUUUUUCGUUUCCCGUGCGUUGUUUACUGACAGUGUCCCACACGCUCUUCGAAUUACAGCUGACAAACGCCUUUCCGAUCGUCGAAGUUGCUCACGUUUAUCAAGUCACGCAUUAUCGUCCAUGAACGAGUGCAGGGUGUCCCAUGCCUGUCCUCUGUAUCCAUAUCUAAAACAAAAGAACGGAUUAGCACGUCGCCGAAGAGGCCAUACAAGCCACUGCAUACCUCGCUCGUAUCUACACCACGACUGGCCACAUCUACAGUGAGCAAAUAUUGUAAAAAUCUAUACGCUCUUUAUGUGUAUCGGAAAUUCAGUGCAUUGACGAUCAGAGAAUUUACCAAGUGGCCACGUACUCAACAAUUAUGUUUUCCCUGCUUUAGUGACAGCAAUUGGCCAAUCGUUGCAAAGAACCUAAGAAAUGCUCAAUCAGUUCACACUUACACCACAAACUACUACACCUAGGUUUAUGACAUCGUCCCGUCCUCUAAUUCGACACCUCCAGCCACGUCGACAUCGCCUUUUCUGGGUACGGUUCACUAUUGGUUUUGCUAGGUACGGCAUUAGUCCACGUACGAGACCGAGCUGGAAGAUUCCAGCCUGCGUGUACAUUAAUCAACUCCACGUCAGCGCAUUACGAUUGUCUCCGCAAAGCAAUUGGGCUUCGUUGGUCCAAGUUGACCGCUCCUAUAACUGGAGCUUAACACCGUAACGUACGGGAUCAACUGUGUGCCAUUCCUGGCAUUACGAGUUAUGCAGGAGAUUGCGGAUGUUGACUGAGUGAAUCGGUCACACGUUCAGCAUACCCAUCGUCAUCAGACACACA